ensembl:snoRNA Gm23666 predicted gene, 23666
GCAGCCCCUGAAAGUUUCUGGUUCAUGUGUGCGUUGGUAGGUGGCAGAUAUGAGACAGCCUAAGUGUUCUGAGUGUUCUGACCUAUGAACAUCUGGAUAAUAAGAAUUCUACCAUU